rnacentral:lncRNA from 1 species
CCGUGCUACAGCACACAGGUGUGACUGAAGAUCUAACAUUCCUUUGGUUUUAUUAAACAGGUAUUUAUGCAACCUGAAAAAGAAGAAAAUGUUGUACAAUUACUCUCUGUUUUCUGUUUAUAUUUGUAAAUGAGUAGGAGGGUGUGUGAGUGUAUUUGUUUUAUGAGUUGCUGUUUUAUAAGUUUUACAGAAAUGCAUUCUCAACACACAAACAUACCACACCUCAACCUUGUUCUCCCCUGCAUGUCCUCUAUCUCCCUCUUGCGCUUACUGUCUUUUUCUUUGGCUUUCCUGCACGCUGCAUCUCUCCUGCACCAGCAUGUGUUUGCGUUAGAUGGCUAAAAGUUUAAAUGUUGUUUGGUUCUGCAUUUUCAAACUACGCAUUUUUUGCAUCUGGACUGCUGCCUUGAGUCUGUUGUGUUUUGUGUUUUUGUUUGUGUUUGUGUUGUCUCGUCCCGUUCCCUCUAGGGAGCUAAGAAUGUUUGAACGGCUGUGACCUACCUAACUAGACAGCAUUUUUGGAGCUGUCUAGGUAGUCAGCUCACUAGGUUGUGAGAUACAGCCAAAAAGGAGGUUUCCUGGCAUCGGAUCUCUAUGCCGUCUGCCUUGGGUGUGUGUGCGUGCAUGUUUCUGUAUGUCAUUGUUAUAUGUGUGUUUGUGUUCUCUGUGAAUGUUCAUUAAACUGUGUGUGUUGUGUUUAAAUGUAUGAAAUAUGCGUGAAUGUGUGUGUAGCUCUCCGCAGGCUGCUCCUUCCACUCUCGGAUGUCGUUCCACACACAGCAGUCCAGUUCACAGUGCGAGCAGUCGUCUUUCUCAGGGCUUCUCCAUUUCUGUGCCAACACUGCUGUUCUCCGGUAUGAAACCCAGACACAGGAGCUCAGAAGCCCCCAGAGCCAGGCAGUGUAGGCCAGGGUUUGGGGAGGAGGCCCCAGGCGUCCCGUUAUCCUCAGGACCCCCCACCCCUCUGAGAGCACAAACCUUCUCCUCCUUCUCCCCCUCCAAGUCCUACAGUCGCCAGUCCUCCUCCUCUGACACCGAGCUCAGCCUAACCCCCAAAACCGGUAAGAUACCUGACCCCACCUGACCUCUGACACUCUACCAGACUCUCUCUGUCUCUCUCCAUGGACCUUGAUUUUAAUCAAUGUUAGCAACCGAGAGGCAGAGGGUGUAGGGCCCAGUGUCUCCCUUUAUUUUGGUCUAAUUUUGUGUUUAAUUAAUUUAUGUUAGUUGUGUUGUCCUUCCAUUAUUACUUUAUCUAUGUGUGUGAGAUGUUUAUUUUACUCAAUCUUGCAUUUUGUACAUUUGGAAACUGUGAAGAAAAUCAACUGACUACCAUGUCUUCCCUGUGUGAAUCAGCCCCUUCUAAAGGAGUUUAGUUCUUUAGAAGGGGCUGAUUCUAAAGAACUUUAGUUCUGUUUUUCAUUUUUUAUUUUAUGCAUGUUUGUCUACUUACUUUCCAGGGAUGCAAACUACUUGCUUUUAUUCAAAAUCCUCAGUUUGUUAUAGAAAUAGGUCACUUGUUCUGUUUUCAUGCUGAAAAAAGGAGCUUUUUUUUUACUGCGAGGUUAAAUUAUUAAAGGGAUAGUUCACCCUAAAAUGGAAGUUUUGUCAUUAUUUACGCUCAUUCAUGUUGUUUUACACCUAUAUGACUUUAUUUUUCUUCUGUGGAAUGUAAAAGAAGAUAUUUUGAGAACGUCUUUUUUUGUCCAUACAAUGGAAGUCGAUGAGGUUCAGUGUUGUUCUUCAAAAUUUCUUCUUCUCAGCUUUCUUCAGGAAAACUUUGUUUGUGUUCCACAGAAGAAAUUAAUUUAUACAGGUUUGGAAUGACAUGAGGGUGAGUAAAUGAUGACAGAAUUAGAAUUUUUGGUAAAACCACCCCUUUAACAUGUGGCCUCUGAAGAAGUAUUUUUGUGAAGAAGAUGUAAGGUUAAUAUUAAGGGUGCUCCUAUCAGGUAUUUUUUGGGCCGAUCACAGAUUGUCGAUCAGAGGAAGCAGUAUCUGCCGAUAACCAAUCACCGAUACCGAUAUUCUUUUUGAAGCCUUUCUUUUUAUCAUGUAGAAUUUAUUUAUAGUGAUGCUCCAGUCAGGUAUUUAUUUUUUUUUUUUUUUUCAAAAAAUAUAUAAUUAUCUCACCUAAAAGUUUGAUCAUGUAGUACAUUUUUGUUUUUACAAUGGGGCAAUGGCUUAUACAUAGCACAUGCCUGAUUUCAUGAGCUAUAUGUGAAGCGCCCUUAUGUGUGUGCUAGGGAUGUAAUGAUUAAACGUGAGCUGGUCGAAAAUCGAUUCAAAUAUGUGCUGAUUCAAACUGGUUGAGAUGCCAAACAAAUCUCAAUACAUUUGGAGUAGGAGUUUAUAACCCAGGAACCCAGGUAACCCAGUAAGUAUCCUUGCUGUUCAUAAGCGCCACCUGCUGUCAGAGAGUGAAUCUGCGUCUCAUUCAGCUCGUCUGCUGUUUCGUUCAAAUAUAUUUUAUGUAGUAUAAUUUUACAAAACUUAAGUCAGACUAUUCUGUUUUUGCUUCAAAU